rnacentral:tRNA from 1 species
GGAGUGUAGCUCAGUGGUUAGAGUGUGCUCAGCAUGCUCAAGGCCCUGGGUUCAAUUCCCAGCACCA